rnacentral:lncRNA from 1 species
AAAAGAACUAGUAUAAAUCUUCCAAUAAUAACCCUGAAUGCAAAUGCUUAUCAUUUUACAAAAUUAAAAGAUAUAGAUUGACUGGGUAGAUUAAAAACUAGAGCCAACAGUUGCUACCCACAAGAAAUUUACCAAAGAUGUAUACAGAUUGGCCAAAGACAUAAACAGCCUAAAAGUGAAAAAUGGAAAUUGAUAUUCUGAGCAAUGGAAUCUGAAAGCAAGCAGACUUCAAUUCAAAAUCAAUAAAAAGAGACAAAGAAGAUCAUUUUAUAUUAGUCAAAGGAAUAAUACAUCAAGAAGAUAUAAUGAUUAUAAAUAUAUAUGUACCAAAAAUUAGGGCACCUAAUUUAAUAAAACACACACUACUGGGCAUAAAAGGAGAGAUAGAUACCAAUUUGAUAAUAGUGGGGAGCUUCCAUACCUGACUCUCACAAAUAACUAGGUCAUCCAUAAAAAAAAAUAUCAACAAAGACAACAUCAGAAUUAAGUUACACUAUAUAUCAAAUGGCCUUAAUAGACAUCUACAGAAUUCUCAACCCCAAAGCUGCAGAAUAGGUAUUAUUUUCAUCAUAUCUAUGUUCAUCAAGUAUAUUGGUCUAUAGUUUUCUUAGUUGUAUCCUUAUCAGGCUUUGGUAGUGAGAUAAUACUUUCUUUGUAGAAUGAGAUUGGAGGUUUUGGAACUCUUUCCAAAAUAAAUCAGACUAAAUGAUAAUCAGAUUAAGCUAAUCUCAGUAAAUUUUAAAAAUUAAAAUAAUCUUUUUCUGACCAGAUUAGAAUGGAAUGAAACUAGACGCAAACAUCAAGAGAAGCUCUAGGAAACACAUGAACCAUGAAGAAGACACUUUUGCAUGAGCAGUGGUUCAUUGAAGUGAGGGGGCAAUAAAAAAUUCCUAGAAUCAAGUCAGAAUGGGAGCACAACAUAUCAGAACUUGUGGAACACAGUGAAAGUGGUACAAGGAGGGAAGUUUACAGGUAAGAGUAUGUUAAAAAAAACAGAGAGAUCACAAAUAAAUAAUCUAAUGAUACUUCCUAAGAUCUUAGAAAAACAAGAAAAAGCUAAACCCCCAAUCAGUAGAAGAUACAAUAAAGAAUAGAGCAGAAAUAAAUGGAAUAGAGACUAAAAGAAUGGUACCAAAAAAACCCAAUGAAAACAAAGCAUUUAUUCUUUGAAAAGAUAAACAAAAUUGGCAAACCCUUAGCCAAACUAGCCGAAAGGAAGAGAAAAAAGACCCAAACAAAUAAAUUUUGAGACAGACAG